rnacentral:rRNA from 1 species
CAGCAGCCGCGGUAAAACGAAGGGGGCUAGCGUUGCUCGGAAUGACUGGGCGUAAAGGGCGCGUAGGCGGUUUUGACAGUCAGAUGUGAAAUUCCUGGGCUUAACCUGGGGGCUGCAUUUGAGACGUCAAGACUAGAGUGUGAGAGAGGGUUGUGGAAUUCCCAGUGUAGAGGUGAAAUUCGUAGAUAUUGGGAAGAACACCGGUGGCGAAGGCGGCAACCUGGCUCAUUACUGACGCUGAGGCGCGAAAACGUGGGGAGCAAACAGGAUUAGAUACCCCUGUAGUCCCUGUCUCUUAUAA